UAUAAUCCAAACCAAUCAUAUCAACACUGGGGGGAUAAACUACUCCCUUACCACGAGGCGGUAAGGGGCGUGAGACACAGUGCUAGAAACAGGCAAAGCCCGGUGCUGUUAAUGACACACGCCUUACGCUUGAGGCCCCUUGUGACGGCAGUAGAGUAGCAAUACUGGUGGUGGUCAUGGAGCGCUUGGCAUUCCAAAGUAGGUGGCGCAGGUGGCUGGCCUACUCACGGCGUCCUCCACCACUCGCAGCUGCACUCCCUCCACCAUCUCAUACGCACAACCAAGGGGAUGGGGGCCCGCAGAUGGAGGAGAAUUAGAAGCAGUAACGGCGGUGUCAUAGGGUAAUUAUACAGGCAGGCAGGCAGGCAGAAGGUGAGGGAAGUCGGAAAGCAGGUGGGUUAGGUCGGAAAGCAGUUUAGGCAGGUCGGAAAGCAGUUUAGGCAGGUCGGACAGCAGGUGGGUUAGGUCGGACAGCAGGUGGGUUAGGUCGGACAGCAGGUGGGUUAGGUCGGACAGCAGGUGGGUUAGGUCGGACAGC
rnacentral:lncRNA from 1 species